rnacentral:rRNA from 1 species
UACAGAGGGGGCAAGCGUUAUUCGGAAUUAUUGGGCGUAAAGGGCGCGUAGGCGGCUUGGCAAGUGGAAGGUGAAAUCCCUCGGCUUAACCGAGGAACUGCCUUCCAGACUGCUUCGCUUGAGACCAGGAGAGGUGAGUGGAAUUCCCAGUGUAGCGGUGAAAUGCGUAGAUAUUGGGAGGAACACCAGUGGCGAAGGCGGCUCACUGGACUGGUACUGACGCUGAGGCGCGAAAGCUGGGGGAGCGAACAGGAUUAGAUACCCCGGUAGU